UACGUAGGGUGCAAGCGUUGUCCGGAAUUAUUGGGCGUAAAGAGCUCGUAGGCGGUUCGUCGCGUCGGCUGUGAAAUCCCGAGGCUCAACCUCGGGUCUGCAGUCGAUACGGGCGGACUGGAGUACUGCAGGGGAGACUGGAAUUCCUGGUGUAGCGGUGAAAUGCGCAGAUAUCAGGAGGAACACCGGUGGCGAAGGCGGUUCUCUGGGCAGUUACUGACGCUGAGGAGCGAAAGCGUGGGGAGCGAACAGG
rnacentral:rRNA from 1 species